GCAAGUGCAGAAGGAAGAGAAAGGCAUAACCACGCGUUUUACCGAGUGAUGCAGUCUUCUGACUGCUUGUGGUUCUGCAGUUUGUGGUAGACGACCGCAGCCACUGCCAGGGGCCCAGCAUCUCCACACAAGAAAGUGAUGGAUCGUCUUGUCAGACAGCUCAGGCUCUUCUUCACGUACUCAUGGGCCACGUGGAGGUAUGCUGGGUCUCCGUACACAUCAUGCAGGUGCAAAUACAGCACAGCAAUGCCUGCCCAGCCCGUGUAAGCCGUGCAGUCCUGCGGGUCAGCCGCCUUCAGGCCCCUCUCCAUCUGCUGCAGCAGCUCCCUUAUUUUGUUGUUCAGACGCUGCGUGAACUCGGGAGUCAGCCGGCCGGACGCAUCGAAGUACGCGGUGCCCAAGGACUUGUCGUAGUCCGCGUACGGGUUGGGUAGCGCCCGCUGCGCCAUCAUGGUGCCGCCGCGCGCCGCCUCACCUCACCUCGCCCCGCCCUGAAAGCCGCCGCCGCCGGAAGGCCGCGCCGCGCCG
rnacentral:lncRNA from 1 species